rnacentral:rRNA from 1 species
CCUACGGGUGGCAGCAGUGAGGAAUAUUGGUCAAUGGACGAGAGUCUGAACCAGCCAAGUAGCGUGAAGGAUGACUGCCCUAAGGGUUGUAAACUUCUUUUAUAUGGGAAUAAAAUGUUCCACGUGUGGGCUUCUGUAUGUACCAUAUGAAUAAGUAUCGGCUAACUCCGUGCCAGCAGCCGCGGUAAUACGGAGGAUCCGAGCGUUAUCCGGAUUUAUUGGGUUUAAAGGGUGCGUAGGUGGAUUGUUAAGUCAGUUGUGAAAGUUUGCGGCUCAACCGUAAAAUUGCAGUUGAAACUGGCAGUCAUGAGUACAGUAGAGGUGGGCGAAAGUCGGGGUGUAGCGGUGAAAUGCU